AAAAUAUGGCUUUCGGUGAUUACCCCAAGGAGUAUAAUCCUGCUGUACAUGGGCCUUACGAUCCUGCACGCUACUAUGGAAAACGUAAGUUUCAUCCGUA
rfam:Bombyx mori DNA, contig: Bm_scaf33_contig20219, strain: p50T/Dazao, build 2, whole genome shotgun sequence.